UUUAUUGAGUUAAUAUCUAUUAAACUCUAUUAAUCCCCGUUUCUUUUUGCCACGUGUCAUGUUUAUCUUAAUCCACGCUCAUUCAAUUCAUGUCAUCAAGCCACCUCAGAUCCAUUUAUUCGUUCGCCCCGGCCGCUUUGAUCGAUCUCUCGCCUCUUCGAUCCCCGCUUCGAUCCCUCGCCUCUUCGAUCCCUUCUCCAUUCCCGCCACUUCAAUCCCUGCCCUGCCGCUUCAGUCCCUCUCCCACUCCCGCCACUUCGAUCUCUACCCCGCCUCCACCCCGCCUUCUCUUCGAUCCCUCCUCCGCCUCUUCCAUCUCUCUCUACGCUUCAUCAUCUCCCUCCUCAAAACCCUAAUAAUCAGAGAGAGAGAAGAGAGCACGCACGAUGCCUC
rnacentral:lncRNA from 1 species